rnacentral:lncRNA from 1 species
CCUUCUCCAGAGGGGUCUGGGUUCCCACAGCAACACAGGGACUGAGCUCUGAUGAUCCGCUUGGCCCUGGGCCCUGAAUUCUCAGAACCUCUGGCUGAACCUGAGCACUGUGUCUCAGAAUAAAAAUCCCAGACCCAGAACUGCAGGAGCUUGAAGGUCUUCCAUAGCCACUCUAUUGCAGGUGAGGGGAGCAGCCGCUGGACAGGAGCCCCAGUAUCUCACCGUCAGGCCCCGAUGCGGCUGUACACACUGUCCGGAAGGAAAGGGCAUCACACUCUGCUCAUCAUGGUGUCCAGGACGGGAGCUGCUCUGCCCCCCAGCAUGGCCCUGCCUGGUCCCUGAGACCUACCAAGAUUGACACGUGCAGAGCAGCAUACAAAAGGAGGCGGGAGACUGCCUGCGAUCCAUUUCAAUUCUGAGUCUUGGACCAACUGGAAAAGUUACUGUCCUUGAACGUCCAACAUCACGUCAUAGCCAGAGAGUUAGCUCAGUGGUUCUGCCGCCUGCCUCAUAAGCACAAGGUCCCGAGUUUGAUCCCUGGUACCAAAAAAUAAAUAAUAAUAAAAA